AUAUAAAAUAUACGAACUUUUAUUAAAAUCAAAAUUAGGAAAAUUUUCUUGUAAAAUAGUGGCUUUCGUGACUGUACUUUGUUGAAGCAGAAGUGAAGAUUAUUUAUAGGGGAAAGGAAUAAAUAUUUGCUGAUAAUGUAAAGGAGAAUGAUAAGAUGAAAUGAAUUGAUUCGUUGUUAGUGAUCGGAAUAUAGAUAUUUUAAAGAGAUUAAGAGUCUCGGGGAUUAGAUAUUAUAUUAUCUAUGUGUGUAAAAAAAAAUCUAAAGUGUAGAAUUUUAUUACGAGGUAAGAAAUAAUUGGAAUGCUGACAUCAUUAACAUUUCACGAAACGUGAGGGUUAUUAAAAUACCACUUUAUUAGUAUCAAAUAUAAAAUUUUAGAAUCAAGUAAAAAAUAAAAUUAGAAUACUGACAUUAUUGAGAAAUAUGAAAAUUAUUUACUUAAUUAAUAAAAUUAAACGUAGAAUUUUUAUUUUCAAGAACUUAUUAUUGAGAUAAAGAUAUUACAGAAACAUUUGAGUUAUUAAUAUUUUAAUAUAUCAAAAAAAAUCAAUAUAAAUUUAUAAUUUAAUACUAUAUAUUUCAUCGCAUUGAUUGAAAGAAAAAUUUAUUUGGAGAGGGUUAAAAAAGUCGUCAUCUCGAUCUCGUGGUUGACCGCGAAUCCAGUUCCCUUAUCUUCAGUUGGAACUCGCUGAAUGUUAACUUCUGAGUAUACGCGAGACACGGUAUAUCUUUUCCAUCUAGCUCGGUAACAUAGCGAGAAGGGGGUGGAUGGACUUACUUGGAAAGAGCCGUGGGGGUGGGUGGAAAAGGAAGGAGAAGGAAAAACGAUGAGAACGUCGAGUCCCGUCGCAAACACACUUGUCGCUCUGCUGACUAAUCGUUGGUCGUCUUCUAACUCCUCUAUUUCGUAAUCGUGUAUCCUGGAUUGGAGACAUUCACGCAUCCGUUCGCGAAAUUUUAGAGCCGAUUUUGCUAUACGCGCCGCGAUAAAACCGAGAUAAAAUGUGAUAAAGAAUAUCGAAGAUUCAGAUAUUUUAUAAUACGUGAUUUUAUAAUGUCGUUAUUUUUUACG